rnacentral:rRNA from 1 species
UACGGAGGGUGCAAACGUUGCUCGGAAUUAUUGGGCGUAAAGCGCACGUAGGCGGACCAUCAAGUCGGAUGUGAAAUCCCUCGGCUUAACCGAGGACGUGCAUUCGAAACUGAUGGCCUUGAGUACGAAAGAGGAUCGCGGAAUUCCUGGUGUAGCGGUGGAAUGCGCAGAUAUCAGGAGGAACACCAAUAGCGAAGGCAGCUCGCUGGGACGUUACUGACACUGAGGCGCGAAAGCGUGGGGAGCGAACAGG